UGCAGGUAUUGGUAGGACUGGUACAUACUGUGCUAUCCAUAAUACCAUCCAAAAAAUAAUGGUUGGAGAUAUGUCUGCUCUAGAUCUUAUUAAUACGAUAACUGUUUUUAGGUCUCAGCGAAUUGGGAUGGUGCAGACCAUGGAGCAAUACCUCUUUUGCUAUGAUGCCAUUAUUGAUGAACUUGAAGACCUCAUUUCAGAUACUAAUGCAGAAGAGAGCUCAUAAUUGUAACUCUCAGUUAGCAGGAAGUCCAAUUGGUUAUUGAAGCAAAUACUCGCACUUAUUUGGCUUUCUACAGCUGGAUUUCACCCCUUUAUUCUCCUCAUUAACUUUUCCUAAAGUAGUUUCCUUACCAUUUACAGUGUUGUAUUCCAACAAAGUUCAUGUAGCUGUUUCUUCCUUUCUGCAUUUGUGCCCGUUCUUGCUUACAUAUGAGAAAUGUAACAAUAAUUUGUGCUGAAGAAGCAAAUCAGUUGGGUCCAGUUGAGUUGUUUCCA